AUUAUAGAAAAAGAAUUGGGACAAUUUCAAAGUUCACCAAGGUCACAAUUAAUCAUCAAAUAUAUGAUGCAAUACUAAACUUAAGAACCGGAAGUCGUAGAGACAUAGGACUAGCACCAUUCAACUCAGGACCACUUAACCUUUCAACUAUCACAAGGUCAAGGUCAUUGUAUACUGUAAAGGUCAUGGUGAAAUUUCAUCAUGACCUGACAUUGACCUCAAAUUGAAGGUCUUGAAUUACUGAUCAUCUUUGCACUUUAUAGUAGGUUGAUAUCUGUUACAUUUAAAAAGAUAUACACACAAUACUAUACUUUUAAGAAUCAUCCUGUUGUAACUUUUGAACAGACGGUCGGACAUUUUUGGGCUUAUUGUAUAAAAUGUAGAGCUCGUCGAGAAGAACAUUUUAUGCGCUGUAUGUAUGCAGCAAAAUCUUAUCGUUUUCCUAAUAUGUAAGCUUGAAAUUGCAGCGUAAUUUUUUUUUGCACUCGGUGACCUUUGACCUUGGGUGCAUAUUAAAGGUCAUAUGAAUUUAAGAUUAUUGGUGAAGGUUACAAGUCUCUAU
rnacentral:lncRNA from 1 species